rnacentral:rRNA from 1 species
UGGGGAAUAUUGGACAAUGGGCGCAAGCCUGAUCCAGCAAUGCCGCGUGUGUGAAGAAGGCCUGCGGGUUGUAAAGCACUUUCAGUGGGGAAGAAAAGCUUGAGGUUAAUACCCUCGGGUCUUGACGUUACCUACAGAAGAAGCACCGGCCAACUCCGUGCCAGCAGCCGCGGUAAUACGGAGGGUGCGAGCGUUAAUCGGAAUUACUGGGCGUAAAGCGCACGCAGGUGGCUGGGUCAGUCGGAUGUGAAAUCCCCGGGCUUAACCUGGGAAUUGCAUUCGAAACUGCCCGGCUAGAGUAUGGGAGAGGGAAGUGGAAUUCCCGGUGUAGCGGUGAAAUGCGUAGAGAUCGGGAGGAACACCAGUGGCGAAGGCGGCUUCCUGGCCCAAUACUGACACUCAGGUGCGAAAGCGUGGGGAGCAAACAGGAUUAGAUACCCCCGUAGUCC